CGUAUGUCAUUUUGUUUUACAUACAAAAUUACACUUUCCUAUCAAUUAUUUUAGGAUAUAUCCGCUGAAACUUCAGUGUUUGGUACAAAAACAUAAGAAAAUUACUUUCCUUUUUCUGGUCUGUGUUGUGCAGUGAUUUCAUUGAGGAAUGGGUCAAAAUUGGUUUACCUGCAAAGGCAAAAGUGAAAACAGCACAUGGGGAUGCACCAUUUGGAGAGCUAUGCACACACUGUGAGAAGGUAUAUAUAUGGGACAAAAAUAACACCACCUACAUUAACAUUAUACUAUAGUACUAUAGUACUAUACUAUAUGAAGAAGUAUACUAUAUAUAACCAUGUAUGUGAUGGUAACAAGUUGGAUUUUUAUUUGCAGGAAGCAGUGAAUGUUUCCCUUGGAAACCUGCUAACCUACCCAUUUGUUAGAGAUGGGUUGGUGAACAAGACAUUGGCACUGAAAGGAGGAUACUAUGACUUUGUUAAGGGUUCUUUUGAGCUCUGGGGCCUUGAGUUUGGCCUUGCUUCUUCUUUCUCCGUAUGAACACCCAACCAUUAUCAAUGACCUCAUCUUGCUUCCCUAAGUAUUCUACUUUCCUAAUAUGAUGAACUACUACUCUUGUAAUUACCCUUGUUAUGGAAUGAUAAAUUCCUAAUAAAAGUUAGUGGAGAUUCUCCAUCACUCUUCAUAUAUAUAUAGCUCCAAAUUAAAGUUCCUUUUUAUGCAUGAAAAAUAGGAGUGAAGUGUAAUAAUUUAAGGUGCAUUUUUCUUCUUUGUUAGGUAA
rnacentral:lncRNA from 1 species